CCUUGUAAACUGGACUUGGGGUUUAGAAAAUGAAAGUGCCCUCCGAGGACAGCAGCAGCACCAAACUUCUGAAUCUUCAGAGUUCAGAGGGCACCGCAGGCAAAUAUAUCAAUCAAUGUCUGAGAUGGUAAUAGGAUGCAGAGAAAACACUGCAACUGCUUCGUGGUUUCCAGCAUAUCGAUAAUGAACGGGAAUGGAAUGCCAUCCGGCGAACUCCACUGUACCAGAAAAACCAGGGACAAGACAGAAAAACUGUGAUCGUCUCCUGGAAUUGGUUCCUGAACUGCAGAUCAGUCUUUAAAUCAGUUUCAAAUACUGACCCAUGAGGAGGAGUGGAUUACAGAUAUAAUAUUCUGCUUUCAAGCAGGGAAUUCAGCUCUUUCCACAAAGGAGAAUAAAAUGUUGCUGUUGCUAUCAAGGUGACACAUCCUGAAACUUGUUGCUUCAAUCCACAAUGUGUAGACUUAAUCACAACUGCAAACUCUUCACGCUGUUGAUCCACUCCAUUAUCAACACCUCCUGCCAAGAACAGUGGCCUGCCCAUAAAAGCCCUGCAGAUAGAGGAAAAAGGGGCUGGCCCCUUGGGCAAUGCUGCAGAACACCUUGCCAUUAACUCCCAUUUACCGCAGCCUUGCUCCUCGGUGCUGGCAGCAUCACUGCCCUUACCAGGAUCGUUUGCAGCAGGACCUGUACUCAUCCGCAUCGUUCCCUUCUGCUGCCAUCAGUGAUGUGGUCUCAUUGCAUAGUCCUGAGCAUGGAGCUUCUGGUGGGCUGCAGUUGAUGGGAUCUUCAAUUUCCGGGCUGAAACUACUGACGAGAAAGAAGGAGCCAGCUCUAUUCAUCUGCCUGUCAUUCUGUCAAAAGGCCUGGACCUUUCUUUCUCUUCUUCCUACUCUGAUCUCUUCAAGGAAAUCAAAGAUCUUUACUAGUAAUACUAGGUAAUACUAGUAACACUUCUAUCAGUUUUCCUGGAGCGCCCUGCAAGAGUUGGCUGCGAGUGAGGGACUGAGGCACAUAGAAAUUAGGAAAGAGAUUUUUCAGUCCUACCAAAGGGAUUUGGAUGCCCAGCAUCCAUUAAAAUGAGUAACAAUUCCUGUCCCACCCUAAAUGGCCAGAGCCCAAAUUGCUCCACAAGAUGGAAACCAUCUUGGUUAAUGCAUGGACACUUAAGCCCUCAGCAUCUGAUUUCACUUAUAUUUUAUUUCCAGCAAACUUAGUUGAUCAUGUCCUAUGAAACACUUGUCCACCCCCCCUCACACCCGCUACCCACUCCCCGACAGCUCAUCGGGCCCUCACUUGCCAGCUCUGCUAUCAGGGGAAGGUGAUGAAGGUAGCUAAUUUGUUUGCAAGUUGGUGACUGAUGUAAAAGGUUCCUCGUCCAUCAUCAUAAAGGCUCUUGGAAAAAAA